UUCCCCCUAGUCCAGCCCGGCUCCGCCCUCUUGCCUAUCAAGAUGACAGCCCUACCCACUCGCAGGAUUGUACUAGCGUGGUCCUGGGUGCCCCAACCUGUGCCCCCCUACGGCGCCGCGUGUGCGGGUCGUAAUCUGGAAAAUCUGAAGCUCCCUAGGGUGGCCGGGCCGGGCUGAUGCAGUUGGUGGGGUUAAAAGUGCUUCUUCAGUGAGACUGGACUCCUAAGUGACUGCACCGUUCCGAGGGUGAGCUUCCAUGUGCUCCCCUGUAGAGAGCAGCGACCUCAAGCCUGCCUCCUAGGGCAGCGAGGGAAAACGAGAUCCCACGGCGGCGCGUGCCAGCCUCCCAAGUCGCUAGGAUGACAGGCCUGCCUGCCCCACCAGACCCAGUGAGAUGCUGUAUUUAGACAUGACCCAAGCUGCUGUCCAUUGGAGCCUGUUCAAAUGAAUGACUGGAGCCUUGCCAGCCUCUGAUGGCCACGUUGUAUGGAGCACUUCACAGCAAUGGAAGAAUGGGGACAUGAAGGCAGUGGUGCUUCGGGCAGCUCCACGAAAGACUGCUAAGGGGCCCUGCCUCCUGAAAGGUCCACCAACUCCCAAUGAUGUCAAACUGGUGACUGACUUCCAGCCUGUGGGCCUUGGAGGGGACACUUCAAAUCUAAACUAUAGCAGUGACCUCAUUAAAAUGGUAUUGAAAGUCG